rnacentral:lncRNA from 1 species
AUGUUAGAACAAACACGAGUUAAAAAAGUGACCUCUACACGACCUCAGUUUCAUCUUGUGAGCAGCGUCUUCUCACUGAUAACAGGGAAGCAGAUGUUUGUGUAUAUACGGUGGACUGGCAGAGGGAGGCCGGCAGCAGAUGCCUGUACCGGUGCCAAGGUUCGGGAUUGUACAGACGGUACAUGUUCAGCGAGAGAAAGCUGCCCUCCCUCUGCCAUAGGUGCCCCCCUCCCCACCCCCACCCCAGCUGAACGCCACCCCCUCCCCCUCCUGCUGCUUAACCACCACACAGUCCGACCCCUUUUAUUUAUUCAUCUAUUUGUUGAAUUAUUUACUCAUUCCAUCGCUUGUUUGGCCAUUUAACGACCCGCCCGGAGGGGCGGGAGACGAUGGAGCGUUUACUUCGGGGACAGAUGACCAUUCGCUUCAUUUAUUGGGGAAAAUAAAAACAAAUGCUAGAACACUAUGGGCCUUUAUGGUGUGUGCUAAAGAGGUGAAGAGCCCCGUCCCAAAUUAUGACCCUCGGUCGUAUUAAUGAAAACCCCCCGAAUUACAGUCCAAACCGCUGCUGCGACGGGAUAUUUAAUAUGAAAUAACCAGAAAUCAGAGAGGAGGGACACCUCUUUAGUCAGUUUUGGUGACUUUAAAUGAAUAUUUUUCAACUCAGUACAUUAAAAACACUAAAGAAGUGUCCUCUUUCUCUCAGUUUCUUUAAAAACACUUUAAGAUUUUGCGUUUUUACGUGUUAUUUCAUGAACUGUAACUCAGUAUCAGUCUGAGUACAGCACACUAUUCAAAUCUGGAUGUUAUCAGCUCCAUUUAAUGUCCACGUAUCAGCUAUUAUCCAUGCCAUACAUCUUGCCAUUAGGAGCCUUCCUCUACCUAUUAGCCUAUCAAUUCGCACACUCUCACACUUGACCCAGACUAACCGCAAUGCAAUUUUAACUACUUCCCCUCUAAUGACAUGUCCCUGAUGAAAGCCUAGUGUCAGGUUAACAAAGAACAACACGUAAUUUAAAUCUGGUGACCUGAUUGCUUCCAUUUUCAUACCCAGAUCCGGGUUGAAGAGGCCAGUGGUCCCAGGAGAGACGUCCAGGCCUCCUUCUCAGUCGCCACCUCUUCCAGCUCUUCUGUGGGGACACUGAGGUGCUCCCAGGGACUACCUCAGGGUCUCCUUACAAAAUCAAAUUAAAAAGCUUUUGUAAUUAUUUCUUGUAACCACCCUUUCAGGGCCUUACCUAUGCCCUAUGUUCUCUGAUGCACUCAUGUCUGAUCAUGUCCAGCCUGGUCACUCCAAACCAAAAUCUUAACAUCAUCAACUUCACAUCCAUCACACUCGUCUCUACCCACUGCAACCUGCCGCACUGUCUUCUGCACUCUCAAUACAUUGGACGGUUGACCCCAGGUAUUUAAACUCACCUCUUUGAACACCUUCCCGAUUAGUUUAUCGGCUCAGUCACUCGUUUUGGGCCUUAUUGUUAUUUUGUUCCUAAAGAGGACGUAGUAUACUCUCUAUGUGAGUAGCAGAGAUACUGUAGAUAUCUGAUGUUCUUUGAAUAAGUGCAUACAAAUCUCCAUUGGUAAACAUCAUUAUAUCCUAGUUCACGCAUCUCUGUGGUUUGUCUGGUGAGGUUUUUCUGACAAGCUUGAUGCUUAAAUGUAACCCCACAGCAUGUGAAAAGGUAGGAAAGUCCAAAAAAACACUAGUGUUGAUUGCAUUACACCUCUGCCACAACUGCAGCCCCCUAAUGUGGACUUUUGUUGCCCUUUUUAUCCUGGAAAAACACCAUGUGUGGCUUCCUGUAAGAAGGAUAGAUCAGCUUGGGUAGAAUCACGUGAUGAACUAGCUGAUAGUAACUGGAAGAGGCCUCAUAUCAACUGAUAGCGACCAUUUAAAGCGUAUAGAGGCAGCUCCUUUAUUUGAAAGUAUUUAUGGUUUGUAGGGAGAACAUAAUAUAAUUCAGGCACGCUGGAAUAAAGCUUUUGUUCGGGUCUGGUGUUCACCUUCACCCACACAAGCAUCUUCCACUGCGGCGAGGUUCAUCUCGUCUCCUUAUUCUUUUGUUAUUAUCAUCUAUUGAAUGAAAGCACCAAAGUGUCAGAGCAAUAAAAAGAACACCUCAGCCUUUCAUUACGAGACGCUCCUGCACGUGUUAAGGUGGCGAUGCGUUUUGUCGACACUGAUAAUCCCUCUGAGCGCCUCUUGCUCGCUCUUACACGCCAUUUCCCAACACGGCGGAGGAUCACAGCCUCUCCUCAGACGCCUCCCUGUAGUUUUGACUUGAAGGAGGAACUUUCUUUUUUUCCUUCUCUGCCUUCCCUUCCCUCGUCUUCCUCUUCCUCUCCCCCUCCCGGCCUUCACUCAUUUUGCUUCCCUGCUUUGGAAGGAGAGCGAAGGUACAGCUUGUUUUAUUAACAUCAAAAGCGCCUGUGGGAGACGGCGGUGAUCAAAUUCCCCUCUAAUUAAAAUGAACCUGGGUUGAGAAUGUUGCGCUGUUUAAUAUGUACAGAAUGGUGCUGAUUGCACAAAGCGGCUCCUCCUUUUGUUGGCGCAGAUAAUGCGGGCCCCUUCGAGACGCCGACGUGGGCGGAAUGAGCGUACCUAGCCCAUCCUCUCAAUAUGGGUGAUGUCCUCAUCGCAGCGUGAUGUGAGACUGAUGUCAAAUCGGGCCGGUGAAGCCUGAGCCUCACCUCGCCUUUAAUUUGCAGGGUGAUUGAUGGACCUGGAGGCAAUGUUGCAGAGCGAUCAACUCUCGUCUGAGGUUGCCUCCUCGCCCUUUUACUGAGCCGGCGCUGCUUGGCAGCCUUCCCCUUGUCCUUCGCUCCCAGGAUGCUUCCAGAGUUUCAGAGAGUUCAAGUUCACUUUGCACUUUGUUCUUGUCUUGUGAUGUGAACAUCGCCACAAAGGGUGAAGUUGUACUCCUGAAAGCUUGCGUCGUUUGAGCUCAAAGACUAGGCGUGCCGUUGUCUGAAUUCAGGAGCAGGCAGCGUGUUUUAGAGAGAAUUAAAAGAACAAAACUAAUCUACAGGAGGUCGAGAGAUGCUGGCCAUCCUCUAGAAUUUCAAGUGAUGGCUUGAGGAGCUGUCAUUUCCUGUUGUCGUGCUGACAUUCUGAAUGUUUGAAAUCUUAGCUACGGACAACAGAAAUCGAGCACUGAAAAGGCCACAGAGUCAACAGAUCCGCUGAACUCGGUGCCAAACCACCAGUGAUGGCCAAGUUAAUCUGAUUGUAGGUGAUGUCAUCCAAAUUCAGAAUAUCAGAAAAGCAAAGAGGUUAAAAAUCCAAAUAAUUUCAGCUCCAGUAAAAUGAACAGUGUGGCUGUUCUCUCAGGUGUUUCAAUGAAAAUAUUCAUGGAAACGAGGAUUUACAAGUUUAGAAGUAGGCUAACUAGGUAGCUACAAUCUAGAGGUGAUAUAGCUCAUUCUGACUGACUUCUCUGAGUGGACAGGGUUAGAAAUGAGUGCCUCAGAGGGACAGCUCAGGUUCAGCAGUUUGUAGACAAAGCAAGACUGAGAUGGUUAUAUGUAUGUAUACUGGACAAAGGGUGAUUAAGAUGGGGAUGCCAGGCAGGAGGAAAAGAGGAAAACCUCUGAGAAGGUUCAUGGAUGUAGUGAAGGGGACAUAUCGAGGGUUGGAGGAUGCUAGGGAUAGGGUGAGAUGGAUGCAUGAUGAUCCGCUAUGCCGGACUCUAAAGGGAACAGCUCAAAGAAGAAGAUACAUGUUUAGACUUCUCGUUCUUGCCUACAUUUAGCCCAGGGUCAGCAUAAAUUUCAUGUUCAUGUUUGUGAACACAAACCGAGAUGUUUUUUUACGACUGACUGAAAUAUUUCUAUAGGAAGUAUAUUUUGCAUCUUUAUCCCGUCUGUUGUCCAGAUUCUGAAGCUGGCACGUGUCACCAUGGUAACCGAGAAAACUGAGUUGGAAACUGAGUCGAAAAAGUGGCAGUCACUUUGUUUUAACCUAAACCAUGAUGCCUUUGCUAAACUUAAAGAAGUAGUUUAAAAGGUGUUUAUAAUGUUUCUGUUGUGUGGAAGACUCAAACUCAGUCUGUAGUAUAAGCAACACAAUACGUUUCCCUGUCAACCCCUCAAAAACCCAGAUUAGGACGUUUUCACUGGAAAGUAUUAAUUUUGUGUCAAGUCACGCCGAUCAGUAGAUUAGAGGUCAGUCGCACAAAUUUCCAUGAUGCAAGAUGCAAGACUGCAAGCUGCUUUGCAACCCACUUCCAACCCAGUUCCUGCUUUUCAUGCAUUAAACUCAAUCUUUGUCAUGCUUUUUGCUCUUGAUGUCUGCUUUGUUCUGUGCUGGUUUCUUUCUGCUCUUUGACCUCUAAACAGGACAGAGCCAACCACCCAGAUAUUUUGGCUAGAGUAUCCCUGCCUGAACAGUACUAUGAGUAUGAAACCAGUUUGAUGAUAAGUCUUGCAAACCUCUCUGCAUCAUUAAUUAGGAGUCGUCAUCAUUACAUCAUACAGUCCUGCUCAUCUGUGGAGAUUUUGAUCUCUAAGUCAGUUCUUGCUUGUCCAUUAAAGUCAGUAAUUGUAAUGAAUGACUUUGGGUCUCAGGGAGUUUCUUCUACGCCUGCAGUUUGCUCUAAGUUCACACAGUUUAGCCGUUUC